rnacentral:rRNA from 1 species
UACGUAGGGUGCGAGCGUUAAUCGGAAUUACUGGGCGUAAAGCGUGCGCAGGCGGUUCGUUAAGUCAGCUGUGAAAGCCCCGGGCUCAACCUGGGAAUGGCGGUUGAAACUGGCGAACUAGAAUCUGGCAGAGGGGGGUGGAAUUCCACGUGUAGCAGGUGAAAUGCGUAGAUAUCGAGAGGAACACCGGUGGCGAAGGCGAGUCCCUGGACAACACCUGACACUGAGGCACGAAAGCUAGGGAGCAAACAGG